rnacentral:rRNA from 1 species
AGGAAUCUGCCUGGUAGUGGGGGAUAACUUAGGGAAACUUAAGCUAAUACCGCAUACGCCCCAUGGGGGAAAGCGGGGGAUCUUCGGACCUCGCGCCAUCAGAUGAGCCUGCGUCCGAUUAGCUAGUUGGUAGGGUAAUGGCCUACCAAGGCGACGAUCGGUAGCUGGUCUGAGAGGACGAUCAGCCACAUCGGGACUGAGACACGGCCCGAACUCCUACGGGAGGCAGCAGUGGGGAAUAUUGGACAAUGGGGGCAACCCUGAUCCAGCCAUGCCGCGUGUGUGAAGAAGGCUUUCGGGUUGUAAAGCACUUUCAGCGAGGAGGAAGGCCUUAAAGUUAAUACCUUUGAGGAUUGACGUUACUCGCAGAAGAAGCACCGGCUAACUCCGUGCCAGCAGCCGCGGUAAUACGGAGGGUGCGAGCGUUAAUCGGAAUUACUGGGCGUAAAGCGCAUGUAGGCGGUUGGGUGAGUCGGAUGUGAAAGCCCCGGGCUCAACCUGGGAACUGCACCUGAUACUGCUGAGCUAGAGUACGGUAGAGGGCAGUGGAAUUUCCGGUGUAGCGGUGAAAUGCGUAGAGAUCGGAAGGAACACCAGUGGCGAAGGCGACUGCCUGGACUGAUACUGACACUGAGGUGCGAAAGCGUGGGUAGCAAACA